rnacentral:ncRNA from 1 species
UCAAAAGCUGUGAAGAGAAGAGUAGUUAAAUUAAAGUUUUACAGAGAACUCCGUUUGCUGAGAAGGAGAAAUGUUUAAUUUGAUGAAUAAAGCCUCAGAGCUUUGUAUCGAACCUAAUUGCUAGGGGAUAGUACAACGGUUGCUUCCGUUAUAGAGCUAGAGUAUUCGCAUUUUGUGCCGUACUUGAAAGGUCGUUUUUUUUAUACGAUAAAUUGGGGUGGUACCACGAAGUUUAACUCUCGUCCUCAAG